CGUUUAGGGGUAAACCUGAGAAACCCGAAAGGUCGAAGGAAGAAAUUCAAUCGCGUUUCGUUGUUGGCGACGAGCGGGCUCGUGUGACAGAGACAGUGUGUGCAAGCGCGCAGUUACUGCACCAUCCGUUUGUCGAACCGAUUACGAACGUGUGCACUUUUCUUCUGGUAGGACGUCGCGAUCCGUUGAGUGUCGGUCUACGGUGCACGGAGGAGCCCGUUCAGCCUAAGUUCGUUGAACGGACCCGUGUUACUUCCCGACCGACUCGCUCGACGGUAUACGAAUGGUUCGAGGCCGCUACUCGAAGCGUCCGACUCGCGGCAAGCGCGCCAGAUGUUUUAGUCGAAGAUCGGACCUAGAGCCGAUCCCGACCUCUGGUGACUGUUGGUCGCGAUGUUCUUGGACAGACCUCGAUGUGUUCACGCACAUUUAACCAAUCGGCGACGCUAUAGCUUUGGGUACUUUCAGGACCCGUCUUGAAACACGGACCAAGGAGUCUAGCAUGUGCGCGAGUCAUUGGGAAUCGUUAAACCUAAAGGCGUAAUGAAAGUGAAAAUCCUCUUUACACGAGGAUUGAGGGAAGACGAGCGGUUUUUAUGCCCUUAAAAGCGGCCGUUCAGCAUUCCCGGGGCGUCUCGUUCUCAGUUUUUCUUUCGUGGAAAAGCGAGAAGAGGCGCACCAAGAGCGUACACGCUGGGACCCGAAAGAUGGUGAACUAUGCCUGGUCAGGACGAAGUCAGGGGAAACCCUGAUGGAGGUCCGUAGCGAUUCUGACGUGCAAAUCGAUCGUCGGAACUGGGUAUAGGGGCGAAAGACUAAUCGAACAUC
rnacentral:rRNA from 1 species